rnacentral:rRNA from 1 species
GCGUGCUUACACCCUGCAAGUUGCAACGAACUUCGGGUUAGUGGCGGACGGGUGAGUAACGCGUGAGAAUCUGCCCUCAGGAGGGGGACAACAGUUGGAAACGACUGCUAAUACCCCAUAUGCCGCGAGGUGAAAUGAAUUUCGCCUGAGGAUGAGCUCGCGUCUGAUUAGCUAGUUGGUGUAGGUAAUGGCUCACCAAGGCAUCGAUCAGUAGCUGGUCUGAGAGGAUGAUCAGCCACACUGGGACUGAGACACGGCCCAGACUCCUACGGGAGGCAGCAGUGGGGAAUUUUCCGCAAUGGGCGAAAGCCUGACGGAGCAACGCCGCGUGAGGGAUGAAGGCCUCUGGGCUGUAAACCUCUUUUAUCAAGGAAGAAGAUCUGACGGUACUUGAUGAAUAAGCCACGGCUAAUUCCGUGCCAGCAGCCGCGGUAAUACGGGAGUGGCAAGCGUUAUCCGGAAUUAUUGGGCGUAAAGCGUC